AUGACUCUCGGCAAUGGAUAUCUUGGCUCUUGCAUCGAUGAAGAACGUAGUGAAAUGCGAUACUUGGUGUGAAUUGCAGAAU
rnacentral:rRNA from 1 species